rnacentral:tRNA from 1 species
GCCUGGGUGGCUCAGUGGUUGAGCAUCUGCCUUUGGCUCAGGGUGUGAUUCCAGGGUCCUGGGAUCGAGUCCCACAUCAGGCU